rnacentral:lncRNA from 1 species
UCGUCCGGGGUGCAAGAGCUGAGGGUGAGUGACUUACUGCCCUCCACUGAGCAGUACCUCACCUACGACGGGUCCCUCACUGUACCUGGUUGCUACGAGACUGUCACCUGGAUUCUCCCUAACAAGCCGCUCUACAUCGCCUUCAGCCAGAUGCGCAGUCUUCGGCGGCUGAAGCAGGGGUCUUCCGACUUCCGCAGAAAUGCGCCCGUAUCCAACAACUUCCGGCCGCUGCAGUCAGCGCAUCACCGGACCGUCCGAACCAAUAUUGACUUUUCCUCAGACACCGAGGGGAAAAAGUGUUCAGUAUCAGAGCCGAAAUUCCACUAUCGAGCUAAUGAUUGGCUUCACUCCUGACCGUGAUCCUGGACAAAUAAAUGUAUAUACAACGUGAACAACAAAUUCGAUGUCUGUUUAUAAUGUAAAUAACUGUUCAGCAUUCGGUAUAUUUUUUUUUGUUAGCAUAAACGACUUUGAACUUAUCCAUAAAAGGUGGAUAACGUGAAUGUGUUCCUCCGGCAAUAAUACAAUAACCGGUGUGUGGUGUUGACAGUGAAUGUUAUCAUUGGAAAAAUAAGUGUAAACAAAAAUGAUGAACUUUAUGCUGGAUACUGAAUAUCCAUUGACUAUACUGGAUAAAUGCUUAUAAUUAUACUAGAUAAAUUAAUUGUAUUGGUAAGUGAUCACUUAAUUAUAUAUAGUAAUAAGUUAAUUUCUCGUGUUCACCAGUAACCCGAGGAUGGAGUUUAAAAAUGUAAUGAAACUUUUAAUUUUUUUUUAAACAAGUUUUAAAUGUGGUAAGUCUGAGAAAGUUCAUUAUUGUUCGUAAGAGUAAUGGUUGAGGAGAAGCAGCGUAAGGUGGAAGGUGGUGACAGAGACUCAGACCACACACACACACAGACACACACACACAUUACGACUCGCACUGAUUCAUAAAAUACUUUGAAAUACUUUAUUAGAAAUAUACAUAUUUUGAAUCAUAAUAACUCAUAAGCCACUCUGGAAUAUAGAAAAACACCAUAAAGGUAAGAACUAUUUUAGUCCAGACAUUUUAUGACUUUUACUGACUUAAAAAGUAACGUUAAAUUAUAGCAACACAAUAUGUUUCACACUGACUCACUAGACACAAUAUUUCAAUAACACCUAUAGCUCAAAAAUAUUUAACACCACACAUAAUGAUUCCUAAAGACUCGCAAGGCACCUUAAAACCUUCUAAAAAUUAGAGCUAUAUCUUACGAACUCACAUUACCACUCACAAAAAGCAAAGCAAAUCACCUUAAAAUAUAGGAAGGACCCCUAAAACUAAGAACUAUAUUAAUCCACAUACUGUAUAUUACGACUCAGUGUCACAAUAUAUCCUAGAAUAUGGCAAUAAAUCGUAAGAAUUUUAAUAUCUGCGGAGCUUAAAGUAGAAGUCAAGGUGGAGUAAAUUCAAGAUGUAUUAAGACGUAUGUGGCAGUCUUUCACGACACACAUGGCUGGAACGAGAGAAUCUUGUGGACAUUAUGACACGUAUUUUCUUAUCUUUGUGUGUGUGUGUGGUGUGUGUGUGUGUGUGUGUGUGUGUGUGUGUUUGAGUUAUUAUUAUCAUUAUUAUUAUAAUUAUUAUUAUUAUUAUUCAAUGAACAAACACUUACUGUAGGCAUAUAUAAACACACACACACACGUACACACGCGAAUAUUUUUUCCCCAUAUUAGAAUUAUCUAUUACAUAAAUUGAUGUUCCACGUCUCUAUGUUGUCUUGGCGUGUCGUGUGCCAGCCUUACCACCAAUCCUGCAGUCUCCGUAGCACCACUGGCUGCCACACAUGUGAGGGCUGGAGCUGAAAAUUUUAGCACAGUUCACACUCUGGAUGGCAGCCUUUGGGGAGUGUCCUAUGCCGUGAUGAUAGGGAAUAUUUUGCUUAAUGUUGCUAUAUGGGAGUUAAUGCCGUCAUAUGUUUGAGGGAAAAUCAUCUGACUAGAGAUAGCUCACUAGAGCUCAUAUUUUGGCGUUAUUAUUAUCAUUAAAUAGAAGUUAUUGAAUGUGGGAUAAAUUGGGUCUAUGUUUUACUGACAAUGUCGUUUGCUAUUACCAAAAUCAUAUUGGAUUAUAGUUUGUGUUACGUUCAUCUAUAUGAUUACUCCUGUAUAUAAACUUGCUUGAAUCUUUUGAAGAAAUCCGGAAUGUAAUGACGUUGGCGUUAUGCCACAGCUAUCCCUAAGACACAUGACAAUGCCAUUGCUACACACAGUAUAUGUAUAUACAAUGGCUAAUGUAUAUGCAUAUAAGCAUUCAUAUAAGAGUGAACUGUGAAUGAGUUUCGAGGGAAUGGUAGUGUGAGUUGUAAGUCACAUAAUAUUGUAAACACUGGAAAUGUUACUUUGUGUAAUGUAAACACUGAGGAUGACAACACAAGACACAACUGAUGCUUCACUUUAUCCAUGUUGAUUCUGGGAGUUGAUGAUAUGAAGAGGUAGACUUAUGCCACUUAGGUUCAUUAGUGUCUCUCACCACGGGACAAACGAGAUCAAAGGACUAAAAAGUCUUCUUAUCCAUGUUACGAGGUCUGGUGAUGAACUAAGCUCGCUUUCCUUUCUUUGUUAUCACUCAGUUUUGAUAAGAAAUCUGUAUACAAACUUUUUUUUUAUAUAUGUAAUAAAUCACAUUGAUUCUACUGUAUCUAACAUAACGUCUUCUUAUCAAUCAUAUUUUCUUCAUAGUAGUUCAUACCAUAAAAAACUGUUCAUAGGAAACAUUAAUUUUUCUAGAGUCCUCGAAAAUGUGUAAAUAAAUGAGUGUUUGGUGAGGCAGACACAACCAAUGAGAAACUCGUCAGAAAGUGAUAUUGCCAUAGACUACUUCAUUAAUGAAACUUAAUAUGUGUGGAGUUCUAGUUCUACUGUGGCUCGCUUAAAGGUUAUAUCACACUAGGUGUUUUUGAUGCUGUGUUCUGACCAGCAGCCAACCUGCUCUAACGCGGUAGUAACGUGGAGAUAUUCGGCCGACUGAGUGACCCCUUUUAGUAGUAGUCAGGACUGAUGUGGUAUUUUCUGUUUGUUCUCUGUCCACACAGGAUAUAAAAUCUUCUGGAGAUGAUAUUUGUAUUCUAAUCUCAGAAUAAAUACGGGCUAAUCGAAAAAGAAUCCCCAGAUUUUAAUAUAUACAACCAUUUAAAUUUGGGGAUUAUCUUUUACGAUAACCUUUUCAUAUCUUCAGAAUUUAGGGAAAUUGAUCUAAUAUUCAAAGUAAGAUCAUUAUUCUCAAGAAGUCGAUGGGUCUCCUGAACAGGUCUGGGCUAAGUGUAUAUACUGUACAACCUACCGGAAAAUGCCCUCAAACUCUGCUAUCACAUUCUGAAUUAAUUACUCAUUUGACCCAAAUUAAGCAAAGUUGACCCAAGAGACUCUCUGGUCACAAAAUAAAUCUCUCUGCAUAUAAGUAAAUACAUGGAUAAAAUAAUAAAAUUUCCUCAUUCAGCCGAAGUGUCCGAAUUAGUGUAAACUCUCCCAAAACUUCCCAGGCUUCUCUGUACUGUAUGUUUGUCCACCUUUUACAACUGAAACCUUUAAACAUUUAGACAUAUCAGGGUUUCCGAAUGUUUACAGAAACUCAUAUCACGUCGACUAACAUAACGUCGAAUUUUAAUAAAAAAAAUAUGAGGCUGCUACACUGACAACCUCGGUGUGCGUUUAUAUGUUUAUGGAAAUAAAAGAAAAAAUUAUUGAAUUAUAAAUGCUCGUUUGUCCAUAUGUAUGUUUGCAAAUAUCGUGUUUGGGUAGAAAUAUCAAUAAAUAAGAAUAAAGGGAAA